GGAGGGGUGGCCGAGCGGUCAAUGGCAGCAGACUGUAAAUCUGCCGACGGAAGUCUACGUAGGUUCAAAUCCUACCCCCUCCACCA
rnacentral:tRNA from 1 species